UUUUGGACAAUGGGGGCAACCCUGAUCCAGCCAUCCCGCGUCCGCGAUGAAGGCCUUCGGGUUGUNAUGCACUUUUGCCAGGGAGGNAAAGGCGCUGGUUAAUACCUGGCGCCGCUGACGGUCCCUGCAGAAUAAGCACCGGCUAACUACGUGCCAGCAGCCGCGGUAAUACGUAGGGUGCAAGCGUUAACCGGAAUUACUGGGCGUAAAGCGGGCGGAGGCGGUUCGGAAAGAAGGAUGUGAAAUCCCGGGGCUUAACCUCGGGACUGCAUUCUUAACUGGCGGGGUAGAGUAUGUCAGAGGGGGGUAGAAUUCCACGUGUAGCAGUGAAAUGCGUAGAGAUGUGGAGGAAUACCGAUGGCGAAGGCAGCCCCCUGGGAUAAUACUGACGCUCAUGCACGAAAGCGUGGGGAGCAAAC
rnacentral:rRNA from 1 species